AAAUAGAACUUUGCAGAGAGAGUUAACAGGGCGUGAACCGUUAAUUGGCAAACGAAUCGGAGCCACGAAGUCGUUUCGCAGUUGAGUCGGGAUCUAGUUCAGCGUGCCUCGAGAGGGGUGUGUGUAUUCUGGGUCCGGCCAGCUUUGUAAGCGUACACUGCAACUAGUUAGACGACUGGCCAUGGGCACAGCUUUUGGCUUGAGCAAUCGAGCCUUGAGCGAAGCAUUUGUUUGUUUGAGUUAGUAGUAGUGCGGCUUGAUUUCGGUCUUGUCGUGUUGCUUGGCUUGGACAAGUGAGCUAUGGCCAGAUACUGACUAGCAAAAUGAAAAUCGACUUCGGUCGUUAGAGACAAAGCCCCCGGCUAGAUGGGCGUCUACAUCUUCGACUGCUGGGUUUAAGCUCGGCGCUUUUCAAUUUGGACUUGCUUGCUACCAGUGGGGCAACUCCUGGUGCUUGUAUAGCUUCCAUCUAAUGGGGCGUUGACUUGAUCUAGUACGCUUGGGGAUGAAUCGAUAGGACGUUCAUUUAAGUUGAAGGGCAAGUGAAUUGGCAGUGAGUAGGUCGGCUUUCCGAACGACCCGUCUUGAAACACGGACCAAGGAGUCUAAUUAGGCAUCGAGUCGAUCGGUCUUGAAUAGGCCAGACAGGGGAGCUCGCUCUCCGAUGGAAGGCGCAGAGAAAUCAAAUCGUGUGAUCGGUUGGUCAACAACAGGCUGACCGCGCAACAUGUGCGUGCUCAAUCGCUAUGUCGCAAGACUAGUAGGGCGCAGCAAAGAGAUGCCCGAUUGGGACCCGAAAGAUGGUGAACUAUGCUUGGGCAAAUUGAAGCCAGAGGAAACUCUGGUGGAGGAUUGUAGCGAUUCUGACGUGCAAAUCGAUCGUCAGACCUGAGUAUAGGGGCGAAAGACUAAUCGAACCAUC
rnacentral:rRNA from 1 species